rnacentral:rRNA from 1 species
GACGAACGCUGGCGGCGUGCCUAAUACAUGCAAGUUGAGCGAUGAAGAUUGGUGCUUGCACCAAUUUGAAGAGCAGCGAACGGGUGAGUAACGCGUGGGGAAUCUGCCUUUGAGCGGGGGACAACAUUUGGAAACGAAUGCUAAUACCGCAUAACAACUUUAAACAUAAGUUUUAAGUUUGAAAGAUGCAAUUGCAUCACUCAAAGAUGAUCCCGCGUUGUAUUAGCUAGUUGGUGAGGUAAAGGCUCACCAAGGCGAUGAUACAUAGCCGACCUGAGAGGGUGGUCGGCCACAUUGGGACUGAGACACGGCCCAAACUCCUACGGGAGGCAGCAGUAGGGAAUCUUCGGCGAUGGACGAAAGUCUGACCGAGCAACGCCGCGUGAGUGAAGAAGGGUUUCGGAUCGUAAAACUCGGUUGGUAGAGAAGAACGUUGGUGAGAGUGGAAAGCUCAUCAAGUGACGGUAACUACCCAGAAAGGGACGGCUAACUACGUG